GUUACACCCGGCCGGUGCUC
rnacentral:misc_RNA from 1 species